rnacentral:rRNA from 1 species
GCGCGUGUUCCCGGCGAGGAGGCAGGUCGCAGUGGGUUGCGUUGGAGGCGUUGGGUCUAGACCCGGCUGGAGCUUCCGUUGGUGCAGAUCUUGGUGGUAGUAGCAAAUAUUCAAGUGAGAUCCUUGAAGACUGAAGUGGAGAAGGGUUCCACGUGAACAGCAGUUGGAUGUGGGUCAGUCGAUCCUAAGGUAAAGGCUAAUGCCUUGUAUCAGCAUGUGCGGGAGAUCUAAUCCCACACGGAUGCCGAAAGGGAAACGGGUUAAUAAUCCCGUACCUGGUAACGGAUAGCGGCGUGCCUUGUGUGCGUCGAGCGCGGUAACGCAAACGAACUCGGUUACGCUGAGUUGAGCUGGUGCCAGAGUUCUCUUUUCUGGUUAAGGAACUGACUCCCUGGAAGCGGCUCAGCCGGAGAUAGGGACGUUGUUUCCGUAAAGCGCCACGGUUCCUGUGGUGUCACCUGUGCUCGACUUGGUCCUUGAAAAACUGAGGGAGGCGUACUAAAUCUCGUUCCAGAUCGUACCGAUAUCCGCAGCAGGUCUCCAAGGUGAACAGCCUCUAGUCGAUAGAAUAAUGUAGGUAAGGGAAGUCGGCAAAUUAGAUCCGUAACUUCGGGAAAAGGAUUGGCUCUAAGGAUUGGGUUAGUCGGGCUGUGGUGUGAAGCGGCGUCGGACCUGUCCAAGGCUGGAUGAGACCCUCGGGUCGAGUUCGGCCUAGCGGCGGGACUGUGUCGUGGACUGCUGCAGCUGCGUGCCUUGCUCUCGGGCUUGGUACUUCGGCUAGCGCUAAACAAUCAGCUUAGAACUGGCACGGACUCGGGGAAUCCGACUGUCUAAUUAAAACAGAGGAGACAGAUGACCCUUGCGGGCGUUGACUGUCUCUGAUUUCUGCCCAGUGCUCUGAAUGUAAAAGUGAAGAAAUUCAACCAAGCGCGGGUAAACGGCGGGAGUAACUAUGACUCUCUUAAGGUAGCCAAAUGCCUCGUCAUCUAAUUAGUGACGCGCAUGAAUGGAUUAACGAGAUUCCCACUGUCCCUAUCUACUAUCUAGCGAAACCACAGCCAAGGGAACGGGCUUGGCAAAGUUAGCGGGGAAAGAAGACCCUGUUGAGCUUGACUCUAGUCCGACUUUGUGAAAUGGCUUACGAGGUAUAGCCUAGGUGGGAGAGAAAUCGAUCCUGUAAAACCACUACUCGUUUUGUCAUUUUACUUAUUCCGUAAAGAAGGGCCUGGCCAAAAGCCAGUUCUAGCCUUACAACGCAGGGAGUUCUCCCUGCGGACCUUAGCGGAAGACACAGUCAGGUGGGGAGUUUGGCUGGGGCGGCAUACCUGUUAAAUAGUAACGCAGGUGUCCUAAGGUGAGCUCAAAGAGAACAGAAAUCUCUUGUCGACCAAAAGGGGAAAAGCUCACUUGAUUUUGGUUUCCAGUAUCAACACAAACCGUGAAAGCGUGGCCUAUCGAUCCUUUAACUUUACAAGUUUUAAGCUAGAGGUGUCAGAAAAGUUACCACAGGGAUAACUGGCUUGUGGCAGCCAAGCGAUCAUAGCGACGUUGCUUUUUGAUUCUUCGAUGUCGGCUCUUCCUAUCAUUGUCGAAGCAGAAUUCGCAAAGUGUCGGAUUGUUCACCCGCUAACAGGGAACGUGAGCUGGGUUUAGACCGUCGUGAGACAGGUUAGUUUUACCCUACUAACGACCCGAUGUUGCUACAGUAAUUCAACUUAGUACGAGAGGAACAGUUGAAUCAGAUAAUUGGUAAAUACGGUUGGCUGAACAGCCAAUGCCGUGAAGCUACCAUCUGCCGGAUAAUGACUGAACGCCUCUAAGUCAGAAUCCAUGCUGGAAAGCAACGUCUAAUCAAUGAUAAACGAAAAAACAUAGGGUACCCCCCUAAGUUCACAAAUCUGGGGAGAGAGGACCGGUGCAACAGCCAGGCCCGAACUCCCCGAAACACAAUUCCGAAUUAUUAUUGACACAAAUCCUCUGUAGACGACUUACUUCAGGACCGGGUAUUGUACGUGCGAAAGUAGGACUUUCCUACGAUCCACUGAGAUUCAGCCCGAGCUCCUACGAUUUGU